UACGUAGGGGGCAAGCGUUGUCCGGACUUACUGGGCGUAAAGCGUGCGCAGGCGGCUUUGCAAGACAGAUGUGAAAUCCCCGGGCUUAACCUGGGAACUGCAUUUGUGACUGCAUGGCUGGAGUGCGGCAGAGGGGGAUGGAAUUCCGCGUGUAGCAGUGAAAUGCGUAGAUAUGCGGAGGAACACCGAUGGCGAAGGCAAUCCCCUGGGCCUGCACUGACGCUCAUGCACGAAAGCGUGGGGAGCAAACAGG
rnacentral:rRNA from 1 species